rnacentral:rRNA from 1 species
GGUUAAGUGACUCACCG